CCUAACAGUGAUGGCGACUGGACGAGUUCUCUUGGGGCUCCUCAUGCAUGAAACAUUUUAAUCUAGUCGCCCAUGUCCUUCAUGAUCCAUCUUAGGCAGCUUGAGAUCUCUAGGCAUCCUGUCUUGGUCGACUGGCUCGGGGUUGCUUCCAGUAGUUAUUGUCUACAGCUUGGACAGGGAACUUCCAUGCUUGAGAGUGAGGCCUAGUAGUAGCUGUGGUAGGGAGCAGCGGUCAAUCUCCUAUCCUGGAGCACACGGGCCUGACACACCACAAAGCUGAUGCCUCGCUACUCCCCCUUUGGACCGGCGGUGGUGAUCUCGGUCCCUACCCUGAGGGUCCCUGCACUACACGGGACACAUGUGGCAAUGCUGACACACUAUAGCUCCAAAAGAUUUUUAAGAUAGCGGCGGGCGCGUGUCCCCUGAUUCAGCAGGGAGAACGGUCUGCCACUAAAUCCAGGCUGGGCACUCUCUUUAUGGCUUAAUGGAGGAGGCUGAAGAGAAUGCAGAUUCAUCCUGCCCCUAAAGUCAUCGUGACACCCCUCGAAUCAUCACAACGAGCUCCAUACCACUCAGUAACCCUUACCGUGGGCUCAACACGACGGAGAUGGCAGAGGCCUUGUCAGAAUCCCCAGAGAAAGGCAGUAUGCAGGCGUGCAUCGGCCUGUUAUGGGGGAAAUGCUCAGAGUGAUGGUAUGCAGAGAGGGAAGCAGCUGCAAACGCAAGAAACCCGUCUGACAUCUAUACAUCCAAGCCUGCAUUGCACUACUAUGUGGGACUAUGAGAUACCCGCAAUGGGCAUAGACUGAUUGCCAUCUCGAACCUCUUGCUCCUUAUAACAGCACAGUUUGCUGUUUGUUACCUUAGCAUGCUUAAUCGGUUUACUGGACUAAUUUAAGCCAGGCCCUAAACUUGAGGUUUCUUCUGUCCUUACGGUCUUGCAAUAGUAAGCUGUAUAACUCUUAAAUUGGAUGGCCCUACUUUAUCCCUAGGGCUCUCUGGGGUGGUAUAUUCUGCUAACAGUUAAUCAUUACUAUGUUUAUAGAUAAGUAUAAGUCUACUAGCUUAGCCUACAUUUUUAGCUAAGACAUGUGAGCCUAGCUUGUUUUAUCAUUUUACUUCGAUAUCACCAUGUCAG